GCCCAAGUGGCGGAAUGGUAGACGCAGGGGAUUCAAAAUCCCCCGCCGCAAGGCGUGCCGGUUCGAGUCCGGCCUUGGGCACCA
rnacentral:tRNA from 1 species